UUUUCACAUUCUCUUGAAUUCCAUGUUCCUGUGGACUUUUCUCCCCCACGGUACCCCCACUCUUUUACUUCUCCUUUUCAUCUUGUUGUCGUUGUUGUUGGUUUGGGCCUUAAAAGGAAAGUAUACCUUAAAACCUCUGUCCUGUGUCCCUUCUUCUUAUCCUGCAUGCCCAUGGAGGACCUUCUUCGUCCCAGAGUUCUGGCCCGAGUUUCAGAUUCAUAUAUCCAAGGGUCCACACCACUUUGAAUUGGAUGUCUUCCAUACACCGUCAUGAACUCAACACGUCCAGUAACGGACGUCAUAGCCCUUGCCCCCAGAUCUCCUGUGUUCCACAUGUGUCCCCCUUCACCCCGGGCCCACCUCUUCCAUCUCCCUCCCUAACUAGUCCCUCACCCCAAACAGUUCUGCCUCCCUCCAAUCUCAAAUCUGUUGACCUCUCUCCAUCCUUCUCCCUUACCAUCCUGUUCAGGUGACCCACGGAACUUUCCACACCGCUGUACCGACCGUGCCUCCCCCACAGUCCUUGCUCUGCAGGACAGGACAAAGGGUAACCUUUCAAAAAAUGGGAAUGUGCUCUGUCCUCCUGCUUAAAACCUUUUCGCUGGCCCCCUUGCCAGAUAGCCUCCAAUGCAAGGACUUUUCUCCUGGAGAACUCUGCUUUCGUCCUUCUGAGCUGCGUUUGCUUCUCUACGCAUUCGUAUCAUCUACCAUCUCGGACACCAGGCUCUGGGAACAGGCUUGGCAUGGCCUUGUCUUGGGGAAAACCGGGACUGGGAGCAGGUGGUUAACUGCUCGGCGUGUUAGAUGGCGGUGCGUGGACACGCCGUGCCUUGUUCCGUGUUUGGCAUCUGGAAGCCCUGUGUCUGUUUCAGCUUGCUUUUCUGCCAGACUGUGGAGGGUGGCUCCUUGAGAGAACCGUGCGUGGAGCACAUUGCGCAGAGGGAAGAACAUCAGAUUUCUUCAUCGAAGAUCACUGCUUCUGGGGUUUGUCAGGUCCGGACCCUAUUUGUCAGCGGUCUCCCUCUGGAUAUCAAACCUCGGGAGCUCUACCUGCUUUUCAGACCAUUUAAGGGCUACGAGGGUUCUCUUAUAAAGCUCACAUCUAAGCAGCCCGUAGGUUUUGUCAGUUUUGACAGUCGCUCAGAAGCAGAAGCUGCAAAGAAUGCUUUGAAUGGCAUCCGCUUCGAUCCUGAAAUUCCGCAAACACUACGACUAGAGUUUGCUAAGGCAAACACGAAGAUGGCCAAGAACAAACUAGUAGGGACUCCAAACCCCAGUACUCCUCUGCCCAACACUGUACCUCAGUUCAUUGCCAGAGAGCCAUAUCCUAAGACUUCAUCUGCACAGUCCUCUCGAAACAGUGACGAUGAGCUCACAGUGCCUGCACUUUACCCCAGUAGCCCUGAAGUGUGGGCCCCGUACCCUCUGUACCCAGCGGAGUUAGCGCCUGCUCUACCUCCUCCUGCUUUCACCUACCCCGCUUCACUGCAUGCCCAGGUUCCCAGCCCCCCACCUGCCAUGGGGCUGUGCCCCCACCCCCUCCUUUACCACCUGGAGUCUGCCCUUUGCUUAGUGAGCAAGUGGAUUCAGAUGCACAAAGCCAUAAGCCAUGGAUGCGCUGGCUCCCUCCGUCCGAGGCUACUUCUCAGGGCUGGAAGUCCCGUCAGUUCUGCUGAAUACCAUGUUCCAGGUGUGUGAUGGUGGCUGCAAUCUGUCUUGUGGGUAUUAAUGCAACCUUCAGUGGUGGCUGCUGUUCUCAAGCUGUUCUACAAAACUGGAGCGUGCUGGCUUGAAAACAUCUUGCCCAGUUUUGGUCCCUUCAAGACUUUGCCACAGCCUCUAUCACACAUCUGUUUUUCUCGAAGAAACAAAUAUAAUAAAAAUGUUUUACUCUUUUACACUGUAUAAUUUUAAAAAAUAGUGUGUUAUUUGUGAACGCAUGGUCUGACAUUUCUGUACAGUUUGGAGAUAUUUUCAAACGAAACAUAAAAGAUAUCAACAAUAAAA